AUGGUGGACAUUUUGCCUCACACUCAUGGACAAAGGAUCAUGCACCUGUUAAGAACUGUUAUUAAUAUGGGUUUCCCUCCAUUCUCUGUCAUUCCAAAUCAAAACUCCUUGUUAAAUUGCAGCCAUGAUGACGAUAAAUUUGGAAAUAAAUAUGAGUAAAGCCAAGUGUCACUGAGA
rnacentral:lncRNA from 1 species